rnacentral:rRNA from 3 species
AAUAAACUAAAUAAAAUUACAUUUAAAUCCACCUUCAAUAAAAUUUUUCAAUUUCAUAUUCAUUUAAAUAAAUUUAUUGUAAUCCAUUAUAUUCUUAAUUAUAAUCUACAUCUUGAUCUGAAUUAAUUUUUAUUUUAAUUUUUAAAUAUUAUAAAUUAAUUAAAAAUAUUUUUUUAACAACGAUAUAUAAAAUUUUAAAUUAAGUAAAUUUAUUCGUGGAUUAUCAAUUAUUAAACAGAUUCCUCUAAAUGAACUAAAAUACCGCCAUAUUAUUUAAGUUUCAAUAAAUAAUUAUCUACUAUUUUAGUAUUAUAAUUUAAAUUUUUAAUAAUAGGGUAUCUAAU